rnacentral:rRNA from 1 species
AUGAUACCAAUUUUCCAUGGAAUAGGAUAUACAAGCCGGAUCAUUGUCACCACAAUGGAAGAAAGUAUUGCUGAACUUUGUUCAGGGAGACAAGAAAACAUAUAUAUGCUCAAAGAUCUAGAACACAGCGAUGCAUGUGACCUCUUCACUAAAACGGUAUUCAAGAAUACUAUAGAUUUGAAUAUGCAAUAUCCUGAACUAGUUGAACUGGCAGAACUGAUAGUGAGGAAGUGCAGCCGACUCCCACUUGCAAUAGUCACCAUAGGUGGCUUCUUGUCGAACCAACCAAAAACCUGUUUGGAAUGGAGGAAAUUGAAUGAUCAUCUCAGCGCCGAGUUGGAGUUGAAUCCAGAGCUUGGGACCAUAAGAACUGUCCGUGUGCGAAGCUAUGAUGGUUUACCUUAUCACCUCAAGUCUUGUUUCCUAUAUAUGCCAAUCUUUCCUGAAGACCAAAAGGUUGGGAGGGGACGUUUGGCACGCAGGUGGAGUGCAGAGGGUUACUCAAGGGAGGUGCACGGAAAGUCUGGGGAGGAAAUAGCGGACGACUACUUCAUUGAACUUAUAAGCAGGAGUAUGAUCCUACCAUCUCAACAAACAAUGCAUAGUACAAAAGGAAUUUACUCAUGCCAGGUGCACGAUCUUAUCCGUGAAAUUGCUAUCUCAAAGUCAAAGGAAGAAAAACUUGUUUUUACGCUGGAGGAAGGUUGCAGCUCAAACAGCCAGGUCACAGUGCGCCACCUUGCUAUAAAUGGCAACUGGAAGGGAGAUAAGAGUGAGUCCGAGAGCAUAGUGGACAUGUCCUAUCUACGGUCAAUUACAUGUUUCGGAGAGUGGAAGUCAUUUUUUGAUUCUAACAAGAUGAGGUUGCUACGAGUGUUGGACCUAGAAGACACAACUGGUCUACAUGAUCAUCACCUUAAGGUUAUUGGGAAGUUUCUCCACCUAAGAUACCUUUCUCUAAGAGGAUGUAAUGAUAUUUAUCACCUUCCAGAUUCAUUGGGCAACCUGAGACAACUUGAGACUCUUGACAUUAGAGAUUCCCGCAUAGUGCUCCUGCCAAAGACAAUCAUCAAGCUUCGGAAGUUAAACAAUCUUCAUGCUGGUACAAAAUCAGUGGAUGAUGCGGUCUCGAUUGAUGAUGAGUUCGUACAUAACUUUCCACAGGCCAUCCAAAAUAGGCCAUGCAUAUUGUGUAUCAUGCCGCUGUUCUUUUGUAUAGCGUAUUGUGCACCUCAGCUUACGCUUGAUUGUGACCCCAGCCAUUGUGAUGCAUGCACCUUCUUUUGCUGCCAUCUAUUGCCUGCUAUUGCAAUGCGCCUUGACUUGUAUGGUGUUCUGUUGUCAAGAGGGAUAAGAAAGCUUAAAGCCCCGCGCACACUUGGUGUUGUAAAUAUCGCACGACCACAGGGGAAGGUCGUUCUGCAGGACAUAAAAAGGCUAACCCAAUUGCGCAAGCUGGGAGUGACUGGCGUCAAGAAGGAAAAUGGACAAGAGUUGUGUUCAGAAAUUGUCGGUCUGGUCCGCCUGGAGUCAUUGUCAAUCCGGUCAGAGGAGGAGCCAGGUUUAUGUGGCUGCUUGGAAGGAAAGUUCUCAUUUCCGGAGACACUACAGAGCCUCAAGCUGUACGGCAACCUGGUGAAACUGCCGGAAUGGAUCCAGGGCCUCAAGAAUCUGGUGAAGUUGAAGCUGCGAAGCACCAUGUUAUCAGAGGACAAUGACGCAAUGCAACUCCUUGGUAAUCUACCAAACCUGUGCUCCUUGCAUCUUAUGUGGAAGUCAGUCCGUCAGGGUGAAGUGUUCCGUUUCCAUGAGGGGGCAUUCCCAAGCCUGGUGUUGCUGGAAGUUGGUGGCUAUGUAUCUGUGAAGUUUGAACAAGGAGCAACCCCUAAGCUUGAGCUGCUCAAGGUUGAUCAUGCAUUGAUCAACAGUGAAGCCUCGAGGAAGUCGUGCUGGAGCGAGUGA